rnacentral:rRNA from 1 species
AGUGAACGCUGGCGGUAGGCCUAACACAUGCAAGUCGAACGGCAGCACAGUAAGAGCUUGCUCUUACGGGUGGCGAGUGGCGGACGGGUGAGGAAUACAUCGGAAUCUACUUUUUCUGGGGGAAUAACGUCGGAAACCUUACGUAAUUACCGCUUACUACCAAGGGUUAAAAGCAGGGCACCUUCGGACCUUGCCUGUUUGACUGAGCCAAUGUCGGAUUAGCUGGUUGGGGGGGGAAUGGCUCACCAAGGCGACGCUCCGUAGCUGGUCUGAGAGGAUGAUCAGCCACACUGGAACUGAGACACGGUCCAGACUCCUACGGGAGGCAGCAGUGAGGAAUAUUGGACAAUGGGCGCAAGCUUGAUCCAGCCAUACCGCGUGGGUGAAGAAGGCCUUCGGGUUGUAAAGCCCUUUUGUUGGGAAAGAAAAGCAGCAGGUUAAUACCCCGCUGUUCUGACGGUACCCAAAGAAUAAGCACCGGCUAACUUCGUG